rnacentral:rRNA from 1 species
UACAGAGGUCUCAAGCGUUGUUCGGAUUCAUUGGGCGUAAAGGGUGCGUAGGCGGCGCGGUAAGUCGGGUGUGAAAUCCUGGAGCUCAACUCCAGAACUGCCUUUGAUACUGGGGAGCUUCGAGUCCGGGAGAGGUGAGUGGAACUGCGAGUGUAGAGGUGAAAUUCGUAGAUAUUCGCAAGAACACCAGUGGCGAAGGCGGCUCACUGGCCCGGUACUGACGCUGAGGUGCGAAAGCGUGGGGAGCGAACAGG